rnacentral:rRNA from 1 species
AUGGCUGGAUCGAUGGGGUUCCGGAUCCACGUCGGGCGACCACGCCUCCGGAUACUGUGGCCUCGUUCGGGCUCCUCGGCUCCUCGGGGGUCCCCGUCCGGUAGAGCUCUUCCUGCCCAGUAUCCUGCGUGCGGAAGGAUGGGGUCGGCGCGGGACGCUGUGGAGAUCAGCUCCGACGAGGAGGACUCUCGCCCCGCCCCCGUGGCAAGGGAGUUGCCUUGCGAUGAUGCUGUGUUGAAGAAGGGCGAGUCGGACGACGCCGGUGUUGCCACGGAUGACGACGACUGCGUGGUUCUAGAUGGCGACCCUGAUGGGGCGGUUGCUGUUGUGGGACGGAAGGGGGCUGCGGGGAACGAUGUCAGCUCCGAUGAACUGCAGAUAGUUGCAGAGAAAGGCCAGGUAGCAUGCAGGGACUUCCCUCACUCGCGCCAUUUAUGUUCUAACUUGCCCUUCGGCACUACUUCUCAUGAGAAGCAUUGUACCAUGUGCUACUGUUUUGUAUGUGACGUCCGAGCUCCGUGCGAUUAUUGGGGUACAGGUCUCUCGAUUGAUGAUCAUUGUCAUGCUACUGAUAAGGAAACUAGGUGGAAAACACUGAGGCUUGCGUUCAAGUGCAAAGGGCUUCGAGCAUCUAAUCCAGAAAAGGAAAAUGCCAUGUACCCAGCAAUGGCGUCAGUCAGCGGCCUUUCUCUUGGCAAUCGGAGUCCUCUUCAGAAUGUUGUGAACCAAAACAGGCAAAUACAUGCUUCAGUUAGAACCGCACCGAAUGUAGCCCCAGCUGUCAGUGCACCAAGAGCAUUCCCUGUGGCAAGAGCUGAAGCGCCAACUGUCAGUGUACCAAGGCCACACCCUGCGGCAAGAACUGGAAGAGGUUCAAACAACGCUCACACUUCUCAAGUUACUUAUCCUGUAGCUGCUCCAACUGUCAGUGCACCAAGGCCACAGCCUGUGGCAAGAACUGGAAUAGGUUUAAACAAUGCUCACAAUGCACAAAUUACUCACCCUGUACAACCAACUGUCAGUGCACCAAGAGCUUACCCUGCGGCAAUAGCUGAAAGAGGCAAUGCUCAAACCGCUCAACUUACUUACCCGGCCACUGCCAGCCACCACCUGCCGGAGCCCGAGCCUGACCAGUAUGAAGAGUACUGGGAGGACACACCAGAGGAAUAUGCAUCAGAGGGAUCCACAGUGUAUGUCGGGAACCUACCCUACCACAUUGACGACGACUCUCUCGCACUGAAUUUCCAGCAUGCCGGAGUCGUUGUUUUCUCGGAGGUCAUUUACGAUGACAAAACAGGCCAGAGCUGUGGUUUUGGGUAUGUCACCAUGAGUACUGUUCAGGAGGCUGAGAAGGCUGUUAGAAUGUACCAUGGAUAUGUGAUAUAUGGCAGUGUCAGACCUCUGACGGUAUAUAUCACAGCUCCCUGUCAAUCUGGGUCUCCGUUCGAAAUCUUUGUGUGCAAUCUGCCGUGGCAAGUGGACGACUCGUGGUUGGAGAAGCUGUUCAGCGCGCACGGCGAAGUGGUUGAUGCUAGAGUAGUCUACUAUGAGCGCAGAGGAGGGACCAGGCGUUCAAGGGGGUUUGGUUUUGUCACAAUGGCGACGGAGGAGCAAUCGUACUACGCGAUCAAUUCUCUCAACAAGCAGGUUCUGGAGGGACGUACCCUGCGAGUGAAGGUUUCGAGGGAGAGUCCACAGCAAGGCUAUUGA